UUAGAGUUUGNUCCUGGCUCAGAUUGAACGCUGGCGGCAUGCCUUACACAUGCAAGUCGAACGGCAGCGCGGGGCAACCUGGCGGCGAGUGGCGAACGGGUGAGUAAUAUAUCGGAACGUACCCUGGAGUGGGGGAUAACGUAGCGAAAGUUACGCUAAUACCGCAUACGAUCUACGGAUGAAAGUGGGGGAUCGCAAGACCUCAUGCUCGUGGAGCGGCCGAUAUCUGAUUAGCUAGUUGGUGGGGUAAAGGCCUACCAAGGCAUCGAUCAGUAGCUGGUCUGAGAGGACGACCAGCCACACUGGGACUGAGACACGGCCCAGACUCCUACGGGAGGCAGCAGUGGGGAAUUUUGGACAAUGGGCGCAAGCCUGAUCCAGCAAUGCCGCGUGAGUGAAGAAGGCCUUCGGGUUGUAAAGCUCUUUUGUCAGGGAAGAAACGGUGGAGGUUAAUACCUUCUGCUAAUGACGGUACCUGAAGAAUAAGCACCGGCUAACUACGUGCCAGCAGCCGCGGUAAUACGUAGGGUGCAAGCGUUAAUCGGAAUUACUGGGCGUAAAGCGUGCGCAGGCGGUUGUGCAAGACAGAUGUGAAAUCNA
rnacentral:rRNA from 1 species